GAUGAACGCUGGCGGCGUGCCUAAUACAUGCAAGUCGAGCGAACGGACGAGAAGCUUGCUUUUCUGAUGUUAGCGGCGGACGGGUGAGUAACACGUGGAUAACCUACCUAUAAGACUGGGAUAACUUCGGGAAACCGGAGCUAAUACCGGAUAAUAUUUUGAACCGCAUGGUUCAAAAGUGAAAGACGGUCUUGCUGUCACUUAUAGAUGGAUCCGCGCUGCAUUAGCUAGUUGGUAAGGUAACGGCUUACCAAGGCAACGAUGCAUAGCCGACCUGAGAGGGUGAUCGGCCACACUGGAACUGGGACACGGUCCAGACUCCGACGGGAGGCAGCAGUAGGGAAUCUUCCGCAAUGGGCGAAAGCCUGACGGAGCAACGCCGCGUGAGUGAUGAAGGUCUUCGGAUCGUAAAACUCUGUUAUUAGGGAAGAACAUAUGUGUAAGUAACUGUGCACAUCUUGACGGUACCUAAUCAGAAAGCCACGGCUAACUACGUG
rnacentral:rRNA from 1 species